AGAGUUUGAUCCUGGCUCAGAAUCAACGCUGGCGGCGUGCCUAACACAUGCAAGUCGAACGAGAAAGGGGCUUCGGCCCUGAGUAAAGUGGCGCACGGGUGAGUAACACGUGACUAACCUACCCUUGAGUGGGGAAUAACUUCGGGAAACCGAGGCUAAUACCGCAUAACACCUACGGGUCAAAGGAGCAAUUCGCUUAAGGAGGGGGUCGCGGCAGAUUAGUUAGUUGGCGGGGUAAUGGCCCACCAAGACGGUGAUCUGUAUCCGGCCUGAGAGGGCGCACGGACACACUGGAACUGAAACACGGUCCAGACUCCUACGGGAGGCAGCAGUGGGGAAUUUUGCGCAAUGGGGGAAACCCUGACGCAGCAACGCCGCGUGGAGGAUGAAGUCUCUUGGGACGUAAACUCCUUUCGAUCGGGACGAUAAUGACGGUACCGGAAGAAGAAGCCCCGGCUAACUUCGUGCCAGCAGCCGCGGUAAUACGAGGGGGGCGAGCGUUGUUCGGAAUUAUUGGGCGUAAAGGGUGCGUAGGCGGUUCGGCAAGUCUUGUGUGAAAUCUUCGGGCUCAACUCGAAGUCUGCACGAGAAACUGCCGGGCUUGAGUGUGGGAGAGGUGAGUGGAAUUUCCGGUGUAGCGGUGAAAUGCGUAGAUAUCGGAAGGAACACCUGUGGCGAAAGCGGCUCACUGGACCACAACUGACGCUGAGGCACGAAAGCUAGGGGAGCAAACAGGAUUAGAUACCCUCGUAGUCC
rnacentral:rRNA from 1 species